CUAAAUGCAGUCGAGCGGGGGCGUGUUCGACACCGGCUGUUGGGAUUAACAAACCAAUCNCGGGUGUUGAACGUGUCUUAGCGGCGGACGGGUGAGUAACGCGUGAACAAUCUGUCCCAGAGAGGGGAAUAACAGAUGGAAACAUCUGCUAAUACCGCAUAAGACCACGAAGUCGCAUGGCUUUGGGGUAAAAGGAGCAAUCCGCUUUGGGGUGAGUUCGCGUCUGAUUAGCUAGUUGGUGAGGUAACGGCUUACCAAGGCGACGAUCAGUAGCCGGCCUGAGAGGGCGAACGGCCACACUGGAACUGAGAGACGGUCCAGACUCCUACGGGAGGCAGCAGUGGGGAAUAUUGGGCAAUGGGCGAAAGCCUGACCCAGCAACGCCGCGUGAGGGAAGAAGGUUUUCGGAUUGUAAACCUCUGUCAUAAGGGACGAAGAAAGCGACGGUACCUUAUGAGGAAGCCCCGGCUAACUACGUGCCAGCAGCCGCGGUAAUACGUAGGGGGCAAGCGUUGUCCGGAAUGACUGGGCGUAAAGGGCGCGUAGGCGGCCGAGAAAGUCAUAUGUGAAAGUCCUGCUUUCAAGGUGGGAAUUGCAUGUGAAACUAAACGGCUUGAGUGCGGAAGAGGCAAGUGGAAUUCCCAGUGUAGCGGUGAAAUGCGUAGAGAUUGGGAGGAACACCAGUGGCGAAGGCGACUUGCUGGGCCGUAACUGACGCUGAGGCGCGAAAGCGUGGGGAGCGAACAGGAUUAGAUACCCUGGUAGUCCACGCGGUAAACGAUGAAUGCUAGGUGUAGGGGGUAUCGACCCCCUCCUGUGCCCGGAGUAAACACNAUAAGCAUUNCCCCCUGGGGAGUACGGCCCCCAAGGNUUGAAAACUCCAAAGGAANUUGACGGGGGGCCCCNCCCAAGCCAGCGGAACCAUGUUGUUUUUAAUUNCNAAUGCNNACCCNAAANAAANCCUUACCAGGGUUCNUGGACAUUCNAUUCCCAUUCCNUCCAAAAAAU
rnacentral:rRNA from 1 species